GACGAACGCUGGCGGCGUGCCUAAUACAUGCAAGUCGAACGCUGAAGGAGGAGCUUGCUUCUCUGGAUGAGUUGCGAACGGGUGAGUAACGCGUAGGUAACCUGCCUGGUAGCGGGGGAUAACUAUUGGAAACGAUAGCUAAUACCGCAUAAUAGUAGAUGUUGCAUGACAUUUGCUUAAAAGGUGCAAUUGCAUCACUACCAGAUGGACCUGCGUUGUAUUAGCUAGUUGGUGAGGUAACGGCUCACCAAGGCAACGAUACAUAGCCGACCUGAGAGGGUGAUCGGCCACACUGGGACUGAGACACGGCCCAGACUCCUACGGGAGGCAGCAGUAGGGAAUCUUCGGCAAUGGACGGAAGUCUGACCGAGCAACGCCGCGUGAGUGAAGAAGGUUUUCGGAUCGUAAAGCUCUGUUGUAAGAGAAGAACGAGUGUGAGAGUGGAAAGUUCACACUGUGACGGUAUCUUACCAGAAAGGGACGGCUAACUACGUG
rnacentral:rRNA from 1 species